rnacentral:lncRNA from 1 species
CAAUAAUUAAUCUUGUUGCUAAAUUUUGUGACCAUUUUCUUAAGUGAUUUCUUAAGAUACAACUUCUAGAAAUGAAAUUUCUAGAUUAAUGGGUAUAUAUACUUUUAAUGCUUUUUUAAUAAAUUGGAAAUUACUUUCCUUAUUUUAUAAAUGUAUACAUCUUCUAUCCAGAUAAAAGGUCCCAAUUAUUUCAACCUCACCAAUGUCAAGUAUAUUAGCAUUUUAAUCAUUGUCAAUGCAAUAGCUUAAAUUUUUUUUAUUUAGUAACUUACUUUUCUUUAAAUACUGAUGAUGUUGAACACUUUUAAAUGUUUUGAGGACAAGUGACUUGUCAUUUGUCUCCUACUGUUAUUUCUAUUCAGUAUAUCUUUUUCUUGUUGCUUUGUAAAAGUACUUCAUAUACUAAGGAGUUAAAUUUUGCUCUACAUGUUUAAACCAUAUCUAUCAUGUUAAAAUGUAUAAACUGGAUGUCCCUUUGUCUUUUACUUUGUUUUUAUUAAUCAGGAAAGAAUGCUGAAUUUUCAGUCUAUUUAGAUGAUAAUGGUUUCUUCCCUAAAUGAUGUUAACAUGCGCAAUUGUAUGAGUUGAUUUCCUAAAAUUGAGAUAUCCUUGUAUUCCUGCAAUAUACCGUCUUUGGGUGUGUCACAUCAAUCUUAUAUUUAACUACCAAAUCUGACUUAUUGAUAUUUAUUUGUGCCAAUAUUUGCAAGUUCAUAAAAUUAAAAGUUUAUCAUUUUCUUCUCUAUUAGCCUUACUUUAGCAUUAUGAUAGUUUUCAUAAACUUGGGAGUUUCCAUAUAAUUGUGGUUAGUGCUUAUGUUAGCAUUAUGUCCCUCAAAAUGUUGGAAGCUUGAUCCCCAGUGUGGCAGUGUUGAGAAGUCCAUAGGGAGGUAUUAGGGUCAUUGGGGGUAUCACCCUCGGAAAACAAUAGGGAUUGUCUUUUGGAGUGAGUUACUUAUCUUAAAAUGAGGGUGUUAUAAAGCAAGACCACCUCCCAUCCGUUUUGCCCCUUCUGCAAAGCCAAUUCCCUUUUUGUUUCUCUAACAUAUUAUGAUACAACCAGAGAGCCAUAGCCAAAGUACUCAGCCUCAGGUAUUUGGUUACGGCAAAAGAAAUAGACUAUAGCUCUGUAGUAUAAUUUGAUAUCAGGAAUUAUAAAGACAUGAGCAUUGUUCAAUAUGGCUUUCACUAAUCCGGGUCUUUUUUUCUUCCAUAUGGAUUUUAGAACUGUUUUUUUUUUCCUAGUUCUGUGAAGAAAAUCAUUGAUAUUUUGGUGGGGAUUGGGUUGAAUUUGAUAUCACUUUUGAUAAUAUGGCCAUUUUUACAAUGUUUUUUCUACCUAUCCAUAGAAUAUCUUUCAAUUUUCUGAGGUUCUUUUCAAUUUCUUUCUUCAGUAUUCUAUAAUUUUCAUUAGAGAGGUCUUUCACCUCCUUGGUUAGAUUUAUUCCCAAGUUUUGUUGUUAUUGUUUGAAGCAAUUGUGAUUAGAAUUGUUUUUGAUUUCUUUCUCAGCAGAUUCAUUAUUGUAGUAUAGGAAAGCUAUUGUUUUUUAUAUAUUGAUCUUGUAUCUUGCUACAUUGCUGAAUUGAUUUAUCAGUUCUAGAAGUCUUCUGGUGACUUUUUUGGGAUCUUCUAAAUAUAGGAUCAUAUCAUCAGCACACAGAUAAUUUGACUUCUUAUUUUCCUAUUUAUAUACCUUUAAUUUCUUUCUCUUAUCUGAUUGCUCUGGCCAGAGUUUUAAGAACUAU